AGCAGCCGCGGUAAUUCCAGCUCCAAUAGCGUAUAUUAAAGUUGUUGCAGUUAAAAAGCUCGUAGUUGAAUUUCGGGAUUGGCGCAUCGGUCGUGCCUCACGGGGUAUGAACUGGUGCAGUCAAUUUCUCACCUUCUGGAGAACCGCGAUGUCCUUAAUUGGAUGCCGCGGGGAACCAGGACCUUUACUUUGAAAAAAUUAGAGUGUUUAAAGCAGGCAUUUUUGCUUGAAUACAUUAGCAUGGAAUAAUAAAAUAGGACGGCAUGGUUCUAUUUCUAUUUUGUUGGUUUCUAGGACCACCGUAAUGAUUAAUAGGGAUAGUUGGGGGCAUUAGUAUUCAAUUGUCAGAGGUGAAAUUCUUGGAUUUAUUGAAGACUAACUACUGCGAAAGCAUUUGCCAAGGAUGUUUUCAUUAAUCAAGAACGAAAGUUAGGGGAUCGAAGACGAUCAGAUACCGUCGUAGUCUUAACCAUAAACUAUGCCGACUAGGAAUCAGACGAUGUUAAUUUUUUAAUGACUCGUUUGGCACCUUACG
rnacentral:rRNA from 1 species